CUGCGGCAUACGUCCGGGCUUUAGGGUGAAAUGUAUUAGUCGAUAUUGUUGUGUGUACGACAAUAAUCCACAGAGGCUUGUUGACGAAAAUGGUGCAAACACAGCGCCCGUGGAUGACCCAGAGCACGCGUUCUUCCAAUGCGACAGGUGGUUUCGGCAGAGGAGAGAGCUGCAAGUGGAUAUCGGCUGUGAAUUCAUCCCUGAACACGCAAUCCCGAGUAUGCUCACAUAGAGAAACAAUUGGUCGGCAGUUGACAAGUUUGUCAACUACGUGCUGUCCCGCAAGGAAGGAGAGGAGAGGGAGCAACAACGUUUACCCCGCCCUUAAAUAAGCUUUCUUUGUGGCCCGAAGGGCAAACUCGAGAAGGGGGUAGAGCACCUCAAAUUUUUGUAAAUUUUCUAGAUUUGUAUGUUCGUUAAUUUGUAUUACUGUUGUCAUCAAUAAACGAUGUAGGAGAGCUGGCGAAUUACCCACCGGUAUUUCCGGCCCCCUACG